rnacentral:rRNA from 1 species
UACGAAGGUGGCAAGCGUUGUUCGGAUUCACUGGGCGUACAGGGUGUGUAGGCGGUUUGGUAAGCCUUCUGUUAAAGCUUCGGGCCCAACCCGGAAAGCGCAGAGGGUACUGCCAGGCUAGAGGGCGGGAGAGGAGCGCGGAAUUCCCGGUGUAGCGGUGAAAUGCGUAGAUAUCUGGAGGAACACCCGUGGCUAAGGCGGUUCUCUAGUACGGUACUGACGCUGAGACGCGAAAGCGUGGGGAGCGAACAGG